AUGAACGCUGGCGGCGUGCCUAAUACAUGCAGGUCGAGCGAACAGACGAGGAGCUUGCUCCUCUGACGUUAGCGGCGGACGGGUGAGUAACACGUGGAUAACCUACCUAUAAGACUGGGAUAACUUCGGGAAACCGGAGCUAAUACCGGAUAAUAUAUUGAACCGCAUGGUUCAAUAGUGAAAGACGGUUUUGCUGUCACUUAUAGAUGGAUCCGCGCCGCAUUAGCUAGUUGGUAAGGUAACGGCUUACCAAGGCAACGAUGCGUAGCCGACCUGAGAGGGGGAACGCCCAACUGGGAAAGGGAACCGGGGCCAGCCCCCGAGGGGAGGCAGAGGGAGGGAAUCUUCCGGAAGGGGGGAAAGCCGGAAGGGGCAACGCCGCGGGGGUGAGGAAGGUUUUCGGACCGUAAACCUCUUUUAUGGGGGAAAAAAAAAUGUGUAAGUAACUAUGCACGUCUUGACGGUACCUAAUAAGAAAGCCCCGGUUAACUACUU
rnacentral:rRNA from 1 species